CAUCAGCCCAGAGCCCGACGCGGGGCUCGAACCCACGGACCGCGAGAUCGUGACCCGGCUGAAGUCGGACGCUCAACCAAACUCAUUUUAUGAGGUCCACAUUACCCUGCUACAAAAGCCAGACCAAGGACACUACAAGCAAAGGAAAUGAUAGGCCAAUAUCUCUGAUGAACACAGAUGCAAAAACCCUCAGCAGAAUACUAGCAAACCAAAUUCAACAGCACAUCGAAAGGUUUCUAUACCAUAAUCGGAAUUUAUCCUUGGUUUGCAGGGAUGUUUCAGGAUACACACAUCAGUAAGUACGAUAUACCACUUGAACAAAAUGAAGAAUAAAAAUUAGAUCAUCAUUUCCAUAGCUGCACAAAGAGCAUUUGGCAAAAUUCAUCCUUAAUGAUAAAAACGCUCAACAAAUUAGGUACGGAAGGAAUGUACCUCAACUUGCUAAAGUUUGUAUGGGACAAGCCUACAGCUAAUCUCCUGCUCAACAAUGAAAAGCUAAAAGCUUUUCCUCUUAAAUGAGGAACAAGGUCUUCUAUUCACCAUAGCACUAGAAUUCCUAGCCAGAGCUAUUAAGCAAGAAAGACAUAUAAAAGGCAUCCAAAUUGGAAAGGAAGAAGCAAAAUUGUCUGCUUGCAGAUGAACGGCUCUUCUGUGUAAAAAGCUCUAAAGACUCCGCUAAACAAACUUCAAGAACGAAUGAGUUCAGUGAAGUGGCAGCAUACAACAUUAACAAAACUCGGCUGCAUUUCUCUACACGAACAAUGAACUAUCUAAAAAAUUAAGAAAAAGAUCCUGUUUACAAUAGUAUCGAAAAGAAUAAAAUAUUUCGGAAUAAAUUUAAUCAAGGAGGCUAAAGAUCUAGCCUGGAAACUAUACAACAUUGAAGGAAACUGAGGAAGACGCAAAUAAAUGGAAAGAUACCCCCAUGCCCAUGAAUUGGAAGAAUUGUUAAAUUCUCCAUACUAGGUAAAGCGAUCUAUACAGGUUCAAAGUAAACCCUGAGUGUCCGUCGAUGGAUGAAUGGAUAUGGAAAAUGUGGCAUAUGGAAUAUUAUUUAGGAUGUCGUACCAUUAGAGACUGUAUGGAUGAAACUAGAGGACGUUAUGUAAGUGAAAUAAGUCAAAGACAAAUAGUGUAUGAUCCCACGUAUAUGUGGAAUCUAAAAAAACGUCAAACUCCUAGUAACAGAGUAGAAUGCUGGUUACCAGGGCUGGGGGGUAAGGGAAAUAGGGGGAUGUGAGAGGGCGCAGACUUUCAGUUAUGAGAUCAGUAAGUUCUAGAACGCUAAGGUACAUCAUGGUAACUAGAGUUAAUAAUUAUAUUUGAAGCUUGCUAAGAGAGUAGAUCUCAUGUGUCCUCACCACACACCCAAAAAGGUUUCAAGACCGAUUAUGGCAGAGCUACCCUGAUGGGAACAGGGAGAGAAGUGGACAAAGCCAGGUUGACUUCCUGACGCUGCCGCUUUGGGCAAGUGGGCUCUGGGCCCCGGGGCUAGACGGAGGAUAGCAUCUUGCCUACCCCCUGGGGCUGAGACCAGGGUUAAACCUAUACGGGGCAUCUGUAUGAACUCAAAAUGUAAAAGGCAAAUUUGAGCAGCAUCCCUAGAGAAGAAAAGAUUCACCAAGGCACUCACUGCUUUCAGCCGUUUUAUUGCUAAACUAUCACGAUAUAAGCCGUAUAAAAAUACUUUACAUAUAGCAAAAAUAAACUACAUUAAACUGGAGGUUAAAAACAUUUUGCAUAGGAAUGUGAUGUAUUCAAACUUCCUUAACAGUCAACAUUUUUAAAACCUAAGCCUUCCAGCACCACCCUGUUGGAGAGAAUUCUGUUUGUUGGAGAACUACUUACGGCAUGGUCAACAUUUUCUCCCCUCUGAGGGCUGUAGAGGCAAUGGGGGUAAGGGAGGUUCUUUGACAAGGUGCUCAGGGUCUAAACUUGUCCCAAGGGCAGUGCUGAAAGCCCAUGCCCUAAUGGAAAAUGUAUCCUUUGCUUCCGAUGCGUCCGACCCGGGACGGGGCAGGUGUUUGGGCUGCCGACAGCUGCACGAAGGCAGGGUGUUAAACGUUUUUUCCAACACCCAACAUCCCGUCUCCUUUUCAGAGGGGCUCGCUUAGGGACCAUCUCCAGCUCACCAAUCACAGAAACGUUUGUUUUUAAACAAACUGAGUUAAGAUGGUGACGUUGGCUAUAACUGAAGGCACUCCCGACAGCGGAGGGAAACUGAUGUUUGCAAUCACAGUCCUUUGUGACACUUCUUAAGCCUUUAGCUGGAAUGCAGGAAAACCCGUGCAUUGGCUGGUUUGGCUCCAUGAGGUUUGAGGCCUAAGCCCUGGGCUUGGAAGACUGGCGGUUAGGAUGUGUUGGGUACCUGCUAAAGGGUCAUCCCUCCAAAAAAAAAAAAAAAAAAUGGAUGCCGGACCUUGUCAGGAAUAUCCCAACCCCCAUGCCUCCUGUAAACGUGAACAAAAUUGUUAGCCGCAUCUCUGACGGUCUUUCAAUUGUGAACAGAAAGCACUUGGGAAGCGUUUUUUGACAUGAAAACAAACACAUUCAGCCUCCCUUUAGUCUGUUGUAACAACCAGAGCAUAUCCGCUUCCAGUCUGUCUAAAUGUUGCAGCUCCCACGCUGGCCAAGACGGACUUCCUGAGACCGACGUCUUGGCUACUGGAUGUAAACGAGAAAGGCCCCAUCAGUGCUUUCCAGUUUUUCGAAGGAACCAUCCUGAUUCAUCUAGGGUGUGUCUAUGCUGGAAAACUCUGCAUGUCCUUUGGAUAAUGCGUACAGGGGUUACCUAGCAGGAUUUGGUCAGCUCUGUAAACAGGGUUCUGUGAACUUUGCGAAGUCUUUCAGAAUCCGUUACCACACAGGCGGUUUUGUUUUUAACUCAACGAUCACCUACUAGGCCACUUCUUUGGGGGAUCUAAACACUUUACAAGACAGUUCUCCUCCGUGACCCGACGCAGGCUCAGAGGUGAAGUCCGUGUCCUCUCUGGCAACAGAUGGUUCCUUUUUCCACAAAGCCAUCCCCCUUCUUUCUCCAAAGAUGCUUUCUUCUAAGACUCAGGUGACUGAUGAACUCUGAGGGGUGUGUGAUAUUUUCGGGACAGAUAAAAAGCAUAAAAAUACAGGUAAGAAAAUAAAAUUUAAUAACCUACUACUUUGGGUUGCUAUUAUAUAUUAUCAGGCAGCAGUAUUUUUGUACAUACAGGAAGACUUGCAAACUCGGGAAAUAUACUACAUUCAGCAACACGGUAGAUUCCUGUUAGCAAUGCUACAUAUUUACAUUACCUUGGAUGUAGCAAGUGCAAACCUCCACCUGAGAUCCUUCUCACACGUGCAACACACACAUCUUUCCCACUUAGACAUCCUUACUUUCUCCUUCUCUGUAGAGGAUCCUAUUGCCUCUUCCCAGACUGAAAAUAUUUUGUGAGCAAUUCCUCUUGGCAAAAUCUCCUCCUGGCAUUUGUUACUGACCAAACUUUCUCGCUAGCUGUCGGUUCCUAAUACACAUUCUCUUGCCUGUUUAUGUCUCAAAACUAAUGCUUUUUUGCUUCUCUUUCCUUCGCUAUUUGGUAGAGUUGUUUAUGAAAGGGCUUCCUCUAAUAUCCAGCCUAGGUGGUCUCAGAAAAAGCUUGUGCGUGCAUUAUACACACACACGUACGUGCACAGGUUCGUGCAAGAGUUGGAACUAGCAGGAGGCCCUUUUCACUAACCUAGAAGAUUGAUGGAAAACGCGUUAGCCCUUGUUCGCCCCAUCCAGGCACAAUGAAGCAGAGCGACUUUGCUAUAAUAGCAGGAAGGCACUUGGGUAAAACAUUCAGAUAACUGAGGAAGGCCAAUAUCCCUCAUGUGCAAAGAAAAAAAAAGAGGGAAAUGGUUCCUAGCCAGGUCAAGUGAGAACAGAUCUCUCACCAAACACUGACUCUGCCCCAGCGAAGUCCAAUAUUGCUGGAGAGACUGCUUUGGGUAAAGCUGCUGGUGUAAGGAAACUUUUCGUGAAUUAGGAAGAAUUUCACAUCCCAGGAGCUCUGCGGCAAUUUGCGUUAAAGAGGAUUUUGCUAAACUUUGUGCUUGGGGUGGGUGGAAGAGAGGUCCCGGGUUGUUAGGGGGAAAACAAAUGCUAGGCCUCGAUGAAAAGGUCACACCCUGGGCGUUCUGUCCACUCUCUGGAGCACCAGACCCACCAGGCUGUAGUCACCCAGCCUCACGCUCCUGGAAGAGCUGUUGGGAAGGUUUAACCUCCGGAUAACCUUGACUAGGAAGCCAGGACUUGUAAAUGCCACAGGGAGACCUCAACAGCCAGGAUUCUCUUCCUACGCUUCUCCCUAGCAGAUCUGAGAAAUCACGAAGCAGAGCCUUUCGAAGAGCGCCGGGACCUCUGCAUUCUGUUGUUGAUUACGGGGGAAGAAACCGAAUGGCCGAAAGUGAAUCCCUGGCUUGUCCCGGGGGGUGUCCACGGUACAUGCAAACAGGAGCGCAUCUGGGCGAGGAGAACCCACCCCUGCGGAGGACUCCGGAGUUUUCUGUGUUUGCAGAAACUGCACCAGAGGAGGCAGACUCAUGAGGGCUCGCUGUGCGCAGUGGAGACAGAAUUUGGGGGCCAAUCACCAUGCAAGCGGUCCGGGCACAGCUCUGUCCAACUGCGGACUGCACGUGGGCUGGUUCUCUUCGAUGCGGAUGCAGGCGGCUAAUGCAGACAGGUCUUGGGGACCGAGGGACGCUUGAAAGGGCUUCAGGUAAAGAUCACCAAGGAACUUUGGGGGCCACAGCCUGCGAUGGCGUCCCACGUGGAGUCGAGGCCAGAGGGAACUCCGCCCUUCUCACGGGGGAACCCACUUAGGAAAAGAAAUGCUUAGGCCUCCUCGUUGCCUCAUUUCUCACAAUUUAACCAAAAUACCUUCACUUUUUUUUUUUUUUUUUUUUUUUUUUUUUUUGGUGGUUUUAGCUCCUCUUCAAUUCCUUCUCAAAAUUCAAUGCACAUGCCUGAGAUUGUUGUUCCUCGCUAGUUUACGGGGGAAAAAAGCACUCCGGUUAGGAGGAAAGCAAGCGAGAGCAGCAGAAAGCCAUUAGGUUGCAGGGGUGCGGAGGUGUUCACACUGCAGCCUGCGGUCCCUGCUCGAGUCCGACCGCCUGCUGCAGGGGUGAGGAACUGCUGGCCUGGAGCGAGCCCCACCCUCCAGCCAGCUUUUUGAAGCAGAGGAAAAAAAAAAAAUAACGUGUACACGUGUCAUAACUUAACGCCGAGUUUUAACAGGCCAUCUUGUGAGGGGCCACUUGUGCUUCAGAAUGAGAAAACUCAAAAAUCAGGCUUUCGCUGCGGCCCAACCGUGGCCAGGAACAGGCGAUCCCUAAGGAUGACGGUCCGGCUUCCGUUUUUCUUCAGCCCAUAGCCAGACUCUUGGGUCACGUUCCCUUGGCUGCUGUUUGAAAACUCCUUUUCCUUCAAAAGGUACAGGAGGUGUAUCUGUGACCUGGAAAAAUGAACGCAGGGCUGGGGUUUAAUGACACGGCCCACAUCUUCCAUCCCCCACCCCAGCCCACGCCCUGAGCUCCGGUCAGUCCGUUCUCGGGGCCGUCGCGGCGUGCUGUCUUGUGCAGAAUGUUUUUUUUUUUUUUUUGGUCAGCAGGCACUUAAGGACACCAUGAAAGUCAACCGAGAUGCUCUUUGGGAUUUAAAACAAAAAUCGAAAAGGCACAGCGUUCUCCCUGGUGUUUACACAGAGAGGUGGCGAGCUCCUUAAUCGAGGGUCAGCUUUUUGCCAGAACAUGGUCCCGCGUGUGGCCUCCGGGCCAGGAGAUGUACAGUAAAGAGAACAGAAGAUUUGCUCCAAGACCCCCCCACCCCACGCUCAAGCAGAGCCCUCCUAGGUCCAGCAUGCCCUUCCCAGAAGACCCCUGCGUGGACGAGUCUGCAAGCCCCAGGGAAAGCGCAAAACUUUCCCAAAAAAGCCAACUGCCCUUGAGCUGGAAAAGGCACGCUUGACCUUGGACUCCCUCACUCCACUGGUAGCGGCGUGACUCUACCUCUCUGUGCCUCGGUUUUCCCCUCUGGUAAGCGGAACCCACAACGUGUACGGCUUAGUCCCUGGUAGGCACUGAGGCCCAUGCCUGCUCCUGGCGCCCGCCUGGCAAAUGGUGUUCCGUAGCGGCUGGCUCCACUCCCCACACCCCCAGGCUCAGGGUCAGACUCUGAAUGAGUGCUUUGCCUCGGUGGGCUUCGUUUUGUGCUAGAAACUAUUGAGGCACUGCUCCCUGUUCUUCAGGUAUGCGCUGAAAGCACGUGCGAGGUGGGAGUUCGGGUUAGCAUCCCUUCUCUGCUGCCUCCUUACUUGAAUUUGCCUCAGUCUCCCCAUCUGUAAAUCGGGUCUAAAAAUGUCACCUCCCUUCUAGGGUCCUAGAGGAGCUUGGAUAAGAUCAUGCAAGUGAUAGACUUAUCACAGUGCCCCGUGUCUGGCAGGUGUUCACAGCAUGGUGCACAUUAGGUAUGAGAUGUUAUACCUACGGAGGUACACGUGCAUAGUAUUAGCACAGCAAAGCGUGGCCGCGGAUCCAUUAAUAGAGGAUGAAUUCACAUUCAGCAAACCAACGUUGUUGACCGGGCACUUCCUGUAUACCAGGUACUGGCUGAGCUGACUCCCAGGGGCCCUAAAGCAGGAACCCAGCCCACCCUUCUGUGAACCCUGCCCGGGCCUGGUAAGCUGAGAGCCCUUUGUGAGGCAGGCAGGGAGCCACAGGGGGAGCAGAAUGCCAGGGGGAGGGAGGUGGGGUCAGUGCAGCUUCAUGGGAAGCUUUUCAAAGCCCGGAUUCUGAAGGGCUUCCUGUUUUCUCAAUCUAGGAAACCAGAGAGUCGAUCCUCAAUGGAAACUUUCCACAGCCUCGGCUUUCUAAAAAUAUCUGGUAGGCAGCCAUGUUGGCACCACGGCCCUCACUAAAGGGUCGCUCCCCCUCCUCAGAAGGCAGGGGCCGGGGCGGGGGUGGAAGGUAGGCGCCGUGUUCAAGCACAGGGACGCUCUGCCCGCUUCCUGAAAGCUAGAGUCAGGUAGAUGCUGAUAGUUGCGUCUGGAAAACUCCGGACAGCGUGCACUUAGACCUUCGUGUGGUUGGGGGUGGCGAGGGGGCGACUGUGGGCCCAAGCCCCGAAGUGAGGCCCACUCCAACCCCGCAGAAACCUCUCUGGCUGGAGGAACCUUCUCUUGCUGAAACCUCAGGGCUGGCCCCCCUGGCUGGGAGCAAGGAGAAAGUUCUAGAACAGGAGUGCCAGCUGGGUGUUGGCAGGGGUGGCGCCGGCCCCCCCACUUGGGGGACCUCGAGCCCAAGACGUGGAGGGUCUCUGCUCCAGAGCCGGGUCUCCUGUCUGCAGGGAGGUCUCCCCUCUGCAGCCACAAGUAUUCAAACCAGUUCCCUGAUGCCCACCAUGCAACCUCUCCCUGGGUCCUCCCCCGGCUUCUGGGCUGGAUGGGACGGGGGGGCUCCUGCCUCAGCCCUGCCGCACCUCCUUCUCCAGCUCUCGUCUCCCUCUGCGGCUCUACCUGCUUAAGGUCUCCCUUACGCAAAACCCCCGCUCUGGGUGCCCCCUGCUUCCCUCGCCAGCCACGCAGGCUUCUACCUGCACUCUGCUGGUAGAGUAGCCCAGCGGCCCCUUUCUCCUCACUCCUCCAUUCAAGGCUCUGCUCCCUCUCCUGCUCUGCACUGCAUCCCCCCAGCCCUGCCCAGUCUCCUCCAGGUAUCCGUUCCAGGCAGUUCCCCAGCUAGUGCUUUAUGUUCUUGUUCCCCCACGGAACCCUCCGCUUUUAAACAGGGCCUCAGGAAGUGCUCAGUGACGCCUUUCUGAGCUUCCUUUUUCUCCUCAAGUGGUAAGUAGCCUCAGGUCCCACAGACAGGCUUCGUCCCCACUCUGAGUGCUGAAACACGGUUCUGUAUCAGCCGUCUGCGUUCCAUCCAGUCAGUAAAUGCUUUGAGCAUCUAUCCUAGGCCAACUUUUGUAUCUUUCCUCCCACCUCUUCCCAAACUGGGCCACACGCAUUUCUCCAACGGCCCCUCUCCUCGUCCCAACGCCACCUUUGCACGGAAGCUGUCUCCCACUCCUACCCUUGGGCCCUCACUUCCUCCAGAAGCAAAUAGGGAAUUCUCACAAUGCUUUGCUUGCAACCUCCUAGGCCAGGUUAUUUGAGUUUCCUGUGUCCUCAGGGUGCCAUGCAUAGUGCCAUGCAUACAGCAGGUCCCUAAUGUAUGCAUCUCAGCCCCCCACAGAUAUCCCACACCACAGCCUAGGUCACUUGGUUUGGAGAAGCUGUCUUUCGUCUGCCCUCCAAUUGACAAAUGGGUUGCCAAUCUGUUACUUGUCUGGAACCUUUUCUCUACAAAAGAAUAUAAGCCAUUCGCAUUUAUUGAAGGCUGACUGCGUGCCACGCACUGUAACAAAUGCAAAGUUUUUCUUACGCCAAACCUAGCAAUACAACCCUCGCCUCAUAGCUGGAGAUAGGCAAUCCCCUGCCAUACCAGGUGAUGGAAUUGCAAUUUGAACUCAAGGCCCAUGUAUUAACCUGAACCCUAGAUGGCUACACAAUUGAUGAGACCGUGCUAUUAAGUGCAGAAGUCAUCAUGUUUUUUCCAUGGUCCUGGCGUCCUCAGUGUCGUGUGUGUGUGUGUGUGUGUGUGUGUGUUUGUGUGUGUGUCAGGAAAAGGCGAGGGCAGCCUCUGCGAAGUUAACAGCAGAGAAGGCCAUAUGCUGAGUGGUUAAGGCGGUCAUUGAGUAUCACUUUCUCAGAACAGAAUUGAGGCUAAUGGUGUCGCCUCUACCACAGGCAGCCCUGACCUUUUAUCACCCCUAGCGCGAGGCGCCGUGAUGAAAACAUUGAUGAACGUGUACAACCUCAGGGUGAUUUCUAAGCCUGACACCUAAGGCUGAAACCAGAAAGGAAAAGAUCGACAGAUGGAAGUAUAUUAUAAUUAUAUAUUUUUCUCUUUAAAACUGGAAAAAUCAAGCAGAGAAAAUAAAAAUAAAACCCUUCUAAUAAAGGGCUGUUGGCAUACAAAGAAUGAGGGAUCAUCAAACUUCUUCUGUAAAGGGCCAGACAAAAAUAUUUGCAGUGCUAUGGGCCCCCUACUCCACUACCCAGCUCUGCCCUGUAGUGUGAAAGCAGCCAUAGACAGUAUGUGAGCAAACGGACAUGGCUGUGUGCCAAUAAAACUUUAUUUGCCACAACAGACCAGGGGCCAGAUCUGAACAGGCCAGUUGCCAACUGGUGUGAGACUUGGUGUACCAGCCCCUAGUAUAUACCAUGGCAGAGCAGUGUUUUUUCACCUACUUUUUUUUUGGGGGGGGAGGGGAAUAAAGCCAAUGCCUCUUACUUGUGCUGUUCCUCAAACAACCCUAGGUGUUUAUGUCUACAAACUUGGAUUUCUCUUAGCAUCCCACUCUGCCCUAGGAAUGUUACGAUUCCCUUGAAGGGCCAGACACCUGCAAUACUGACUUUCAUUCAGCUGAGCUCAGAGGUUCUCAAACUUUACCUUGCAGAACAGCUGCUCAGAGGUGCAUGUAGAAAACCACAUGGAUAUACACGCGCUUGGCCGAAUCUCCUCUCGAGACCCACGCUUGGGGCAAGGAGGCUGGACCAGGAAGCCCGUGACGUGUGCCUCUGGGUGAUUCUGUCCCAAUUGCCGUGAGGUAAAGCUGCUGGGACAGCUGAGGGAAGCGUCAGCAUGUCUUAUCAGCAGAGCCCAUCCUUCCAGAAUGUCCAGGCCACUAUGUGUGCUGAUGGGCGUGGCAGCUGGCAGUGAAUUUGGGUGCGUUUUCAGAACAGCUUGCAGAACAGCUGCUCAGAGGUGCCUAUAGCAAACCACAUGGACAUACACGGGAACCCUUCAGAAGCCACAGCCCGAUGAGCCAGGGGGAUGUCAGGGGGCACGUAACCAACAACACCGCCGCUGACUUCUGGUGAGUGGACUUCGUGUGCUGAAUCGAAUCGGCAUGUGCAGAGCAUUCGGUCACAGCAACAGCAUCUAAACAGCCGAGGCACAGAAAGAGAGUCUUCCUUAACUGGAUACACCAAGCAACAUGUACAAAACCAAAAAGGAGCUGGUCCGGUGCAGGAGCAGAACUCUCAGAGACAAAACAGCCCUGCCUCCUGCCGGCCACGGAGCUGCGAAUCAGGGCGGACUGAAGAGAGAAACACGUACACGCUAGCUUCUGCAGCAAAGAACGUCAGAAUCACACGAGGAAUCGAUUCAAACGUAACCCUCCUUCAGGCUUUUCUACGUGCUAGAUCUGACUCGUUUCCUUCUUCCAAGUGAUAGAACCUCAGUGCGCAUGCAAAUUCGUGCUGUGGAUUAGAUGAUCACUGAAGACAGGGACUGGAAGUGCUUCCCUUAUCAAUCAACACUGAUAAUUAACGUGCAAGCACAUGGUAUCGACGGAUAAAGUGCAAAAACACAGACGGGAGAAUGUGUCAUCUCGCCAAAUUAUACAACUAACGUCCAGCCUCCUGAAAGCUCAGGCACGCGUCUCUAAGGGGGAUGGAAGUAGAUGGGAAGACCCGCGUGCACCUGUGUCAUGCAGCUGACGGGACUCCGAGAACGGCCCAAGGUGCGGGCGGUCUGCUGGCUCUACAAUGAAAACACUGAUGUCCCUCCCAACCACAGUCGAAACUGCUCCCACCUUAUCCCCUUUUCCACGUUUCCCGUGAUUACGCAUCCGCUUCCAGUCUAGGGAACGACGACUUGGGACUUUCUCUAAGCUACGCUGCCCUAGGAGAAAGGACUCACCAGCUGUAGAAACUCAAGCCUGAGCUGGGUUUGCCCCUUCUGCCCAGUCCUUUCCUCCAAUUCAGCAGAAUUUUCUGAUUUCACGCAGCUACGUUGCACCUCUCCUGGCGAGCAACCACACGGCUUCUAAGGUAGCAACCACAGGCAAGAAAGCAUUCUGAACAAACCACGGCUUGCUUCCUUGUCGUCCUGCCAUUUCAUCAUGCCUGGACCCCAAACCUCCGCUGAGAGGCAUCAGCCACAAAGCAAGCGUUGCAAAAUACGUUGUUGCCAAAACAGAAGCAAAAGAAAGGCGCCAGUUGCUACAUCCAGUGGAGAUUCGGGAAAGAAAUGGCGCUCCAAACCCGCAAAUGAGCCUGUGACCGCCAGUGAGACGAUAAAACAAAUACUUAAUUGCUCGGGAAGCCAUUUUUCUCUCUGGGGGUUGAAGGAAUUAACCAAACACUUAUGUCAAGA